UAAUAAAAUCGACUUUAGUAUUUUAAAACAAGACAUCCAUCUUUUUCAGGUUUCUUUUUAUUUUGUACCAAUAAAAUAAUAGCACAAAUAUGGAAGUAAAAUUUCUUAGUGCGACGAUUAUUGUAUUUUCCACGAUUGUAUACGCUUCUUCGGUAUCAUUAAUCGAUAAAAAGUUAGAAAAUACCUAUGGUCCAACUAUAACAGACGGAAAUUGCGAUAGUACACCAGAUAAAGAGUUGGUCGAUAGUGUCAACGUUAAAAAAAAUGCAAUUCCAUUUUUCGAAAGGAGUGAUACAGUAACUUAUUAUGGUGACAAGAAAAUAUAUUGCAUUAAAGUUCUCAAUCUACGGACUGAUCACUUCGGACAUGCUAAUAUCACUGCAGGUGGUGUCGAACAUAGUUUUGCUACGAUCUUAAUGGAAUCUGACACAAGUCAUGGUAUGGAAUUUCACAUUUAUAUUUAUGCCAAUUAGAAAAUACUGCCUUCUUUUGUAUCGAAUAUUUGAAUAUUUAAUAAAAUAACUUUGUAAUUUG